UGGGGAAUUUUCCGCAAUGGGCGAAAGCCUGACGGAGCAACGCCGCGUGAGGGAUGAAGGCCUCUGGGCUGUAAACCUCUUUUCUCAAGGAAGAAGAUCUGACGGUACUUGAGGAAUAAGCCACGGCUAAUUCCGUGCCAGCAGCCGCGGUAAUACGGGAGUGGCAAGCGUUAUCCGGAAUUAUUGGGCGUAAAGCGUCCGCAGGCGGCCUCGUAAGUCUGUCGUUAAAGCGUGGAGCUUAACUCCAUUUCAGCGAUGGAAACUGCGAGGCUAGAGUGUGGUAGGGGCAGAGGGAAUUCCCGGUGUAGCGGUGAAAUGCGUAGAUAUCGGGAAGAACACCAGUGGCGAAGGCGCUCUGCUGGGCCAUAACUGACGCUCAUGGACGAAAGCCAGGGGAGCGAAAGGGAUUAGAUACCCCUGUAGUC
rnacentral:rRNA from 1 species